UUCUAUUCAAGCUUGAGCGUCACUCUACGAGAGGUACUACUCUAGCCUUCUCAUAUCCUUAAAAUAUUCUUGUAUCUGGAGAUGCAAACGCCCAGGUUAAUAAUUUAAUAUUAAUAAUCAUUCCAUGCAUGAAUCAUGGCAACGGACACAACUACUUUGUAGAAUUAGUUUACCUUUUAUAUUGGUCGAUAUGAAACCAUUUCA
rnacentral:lncRNA from 1 species